CCUACGGGAGGCAGCAGUGAGGAAUAUUGGUCAAUGGACGCAAGUCUGAACCAGCCAUGCCGCGUGCAGGAAGACGGCUCUAUGAGUUGUAAACUGCUUUUGUACGAGGGUAAACGCAGAUACGCGUACCUGUCUGCAAGUAUCGUACGAAUAAGGAUCGGCUAACUCCGUGCCAGCAGCCGCGGUAAUACGGAGGAUUCAAGCGUUAUCCGGAUUUAUUGGGUUUAAAGGGUGCGUAGGCGGUCGGAUAAGUUAGAGGUGAAAGCCCGAGGCUCAACUUCGGAAUUGCCGCUGAUACUGUUCGGAUAGAGAGUAGAUGCGGUAGGCGGAAUGUAUGGUGUAGCGGUGAAAUGCUUAGAGAUCAUACAGAACACCGAUUGCGAAGGCAGCUUACCAAGGUACAUCUGACGUUGAGGCACGAAAGCGUGGGGAGCAAACAGGAUUAGAUACCCGUGUAGUC
rnacentral:rRNA from 1 species